rnacentral:rRNA from 1 species
UACGGAGGGGGCUAGCGUUGUUCGGAAUUACUGGGCGUAAAGCGCCCGUAGGCGGAUUUGUAAGUCAGGGGUGAAAUCCCGGGGCUCAACCUCGGAACUGCCUUUGAUACUGCAAAUCUCGAGUCCGGAAGAGGUGAGUGGAAUUCCUAGUGUAGAGGUGAAAUUCGUAGAUAUUAGGAAGAACACCGGUGGCGAAGGCGGCCCACUGGUCCGGUACUGACGCUGAGGUGCGAAAGCGUGGGGAGCAAACAGG